GCCGGCCUCGUUCGUUUUCCCGGAAAUUCGCUGCCAGGGCGUCGCUGGGCCAGUAUAGGUUUGGGGGUGAGGCCCUAGAGACUGUGGGGAGGAAAAGAAAAGGAACGCAAAUACUAGGUCCUGAUCGGCUGGGGCCUCCCUUGGCCGCCUCCAAACAGAGAGAGGCUUUUCCCCUUGCCUUUGCUGCAAACAAUUUAGCAUGACCCGCGAAUUCUUCCAGAGGCAACAUUUCUAAGAGAGAGAACACCUCUUCACCAAUCACAAGACUGAAGUCCUGAGUUUUGCUGUGAUUAGACCCACCCCUAUCCUGAGCCUACCUGCAGUCAGUCACACACAGAGAUAGAGACAGCCAGCGAGAGAGGGAACACAAGCAGGGGGAGUGG